rnacentral:rRNA from 1 species
GAUGAACGCUGGCGGCGUGCCUAAUACAUGCAAGUCGAGCGAACAGACGAGGAGCUUGCUCCUUUGACGUUAGCGGCGGACGGGUGAGUAACACGUGGGUAACCUACCUAUAAGACUGGGAUAACUUCGGGAAACCGGAGCUAAUACCGGAUAAUAUUUCGAACCGCAUGGUUCGAUAGUGAAAGAUGGCUUUGCUAUCACUUAUAGAUGGACCUGCGCCGUAUUAGCUAGUUGGUAAGGUAACGGCUUACCAAGGCAACGAUACGUAGCCGACCUGAGAGGGUGAUCGGCCAAAAUGGAACUGAGACACGGUCCAGACUCCUACGGGAGGCAGCAGUAGGGAAUCUUCCGCAAUGGGCGAAAGCCUGACGGAGCAACGCCGCGUGAGUGAUGAAGGUCUUCGGAUCGUAAAACUCUGUUAUUAGGGAAGAACAAACGUGUAAGUAACUGUGCACGUCUUGACGGUACCUAAUCAGAAAGCCACGGCUAACUACGUG